UCGUGUUGGUUUAAACGGCUAAACUUGGCCCCGUUAGGCACCACCGCCGUGGGUUACCAUGCUUGGCCUGUUAGUUGCUCGCCCGCACAGAAAGACCACAAAAAAGUAGCUUAAAAAUCAGCAUCGGUUCACCGGAAAAUGAGUGUAGAGAACCCAUGGCGGUUGCCAUUCACGGAGUGGUGGAGGGAGCUCCUCGGGCUGCAGGUGGAGCGUGGUUGAUUGGGCAAUUUCACACGGGUGGAGCUCUGUGUUAAGGUUUCUAAGCAUCGAUAUGAUUUGGGGCAAGUCAAAAAUCUGUUUGUUAGAACUUAUACUGUCAACAAGUUUGGAGGUGCUGGAGGUAAAAGCAGUGUUCUGAAAAUCGGAC